CUUCGGCUUCGCCGUUGAUCCAUUCGAUUGGACCUUCGGGAUCGCCCAGUACGAAGUUGUCUUCAUUCGAAUAUGCACCAAUAUUGGUGAAGCUGGUUUUUAUCUUUUGUACACAUGCUACAGAUUUUUCAUAGCAUCUUUCUUUUGAAGAACGAAGCUCCACAACUGUUUUUUUCCAGUAGUCACUAGCGUCUCGGUCAGCUUCGGCGAUAGCACAUUUUAACUUCGCUUCAGCCAGCUGUUUCCGAAGAUCUUCAAUUUCGCACUUCUGGGCUUCAGCUUGGGCUUUGGAAGUAGCUUCGUCUUCUUUUAUUUUAUUCACCAAUGAGUUUAAUAUUUUAUCUUUUUCAAAACCUUCGUUCCUUAGUUCAAUUACUUCGGAACGAAGGUUGUUCAAAGCUAUAGUACAUCCUUCGUCUUCAGCACUUUUUUGCGCCCUGAGGGCGUUGCUAAGAAUCAGGCCCUGCAAAAAGAAGUGUGGUACUAAGUAUAAGCAAAUAAAACAAAUCUCGGUUUUUUAAUACAAAAAAUUUAUUCUCAUACCUUUAAGCUAUUAUAUGCUAAGCUGUCAGCCAGUUCAUCUUUCCAUAGCACCGAAAGCCCAUCUUCUAGCAUUGGGAAUCCGAAGCUUUUGCUCAUCUCCCGGCAGACAGAAAUUUCCUUGCUGUCUGGGAUACAAUACAAGAAAUCUUCUUCUCCGCUGCCGUUGAAUAUUAAUGCCUCCUUUGGAUAUUUUAAUUUUUUGGCAUAAUAUCGAGCUUCUCGUUUUUCCUCUUCAGAUAGCCUUUUGCCUGAAGCAUGUCGUACGAUAUAAUCAGGUACUCCAGAAGAUGCUUCGGGAGUUGAAGAGACAGUUUUUACAGGCAGAAUUUGCUUUGUAGCCUCUUUUUUCGUUUCUUCUUCUCCGGUUUCCAAGGGUUUCUCCUUGGCGGGCUAUGAAGGCCCAGCUUCGGCCUCGGUCUGGCUCUUUGCAGCUUCCGCUUCAGAUGGUUUUGUCUCAAUUUGCGUUUUUGACGCUUCGGCAGUUUUCCUCGGAGUGGUGCUUGAAGACUUUAUUGUCUCCAGCAUAUCUAGUACAUUGACCAUCCUUUUUCUCUUGGGAGUCGCCGUGAGAUCUUUUUGUGCCUUCGGCACUGUCAUUCCUGCCGAAGGGCUUAUAACUUCUAAUAUCUUUGUUUUCUCGGCCUCUAUCUCUUCAAUAUUAUCGACCUUCGGCAUCAUAGCCGGCUCUUCAUUCUUCUGUGUAAGAGCAGGUCCUUUGGCUUCAGUAGCCGAGGUCUCACCACCAAAUUCGGGCACUGUGGCCGGUUCAAUGAAGCGCGAUCGGUGAGUAAGGACCUUCACCUUUUUCCUCUUUGGCGCGGGCUCGCUUAGAGCAGCUGAAGCAUCACAUUUCACAGAAGUUGCACUUUUUCUCUUUUACCCUUUCGGCGGGUAGCAGUAAUCAGGGUACAUGAACCCAAUAGCAUCGAAAACUCUAUUCAGCCUCUUCUUCUUCCGGCCUCCGAAGGCCGCAGAUAACACGUUAUCUUCUGCCUUUGAAUAUGGCCCAAGCAGUUCAUCGCUUGUAGCUUCGAUACAUUUCAGCCAAUCAUCAUCUGGCUCAACAAACUUACCUUCAUAUCUGAAGGUGUAUUUCAACCUAACCAGCCCACCUUCGUCAGACUUGCUGAUAGUUUCCUUUGGCAUUUCUCAUUGUUAAGGCCCAUAAGGCCCAUAUUGUCUGCCUAUAUGCCUAUAUAUAUGCUACAGUACCCGUGGGGGUGAUUAUCUCGGCUAAUCAAGGUCAGUAACACUCAUUUCUCUACAAGUGGCCACACUCUGAAGGCUAUGUGCUCCUGGACUAAAUCUCUUGUCCCGAUGAAAGAACAAACUAUGUCAAAGGCCUUUCGGCAUUCUUCGGCUGCUUCAUCAAUUUCCACCUUCGGCUUCCGGAGGCCGAAACGCUGCCAGAUAGGGCGCAUGAUGAUCUCCUUAAUAUCCUCUCGUGUUUUUAAAUCAUUUUUCACAUAGAACCAUUCCUUCAUCCAAUCUCCGGGCCAUCUCUUCCGAAAAGUCGGCACGGGGCAGCUUGACCCAGAGCGAGCAACGAAGCUAUAGCAGCCAAAAUUAUUAUGGUAUUGCUCUUUGCCCAAAGUUUUCGUCUCAUAUAACAGUUCGUGCAUACUGCAGAAACUUUUUGCAUUUGGCUCCAAGCCCUGGCUCCUCACGGCCCAGACAAAGAUUCCCAUUCUUAUGAUUGCUUCGGGAGUAAUUUGAUGAAGGUAAACCUGAUAUAUUUUUAAAACUUCAACCACAAAAUUGCUUAGGGGGAACCGAAGCCCAACCUUGAAGAAGAUUCGGAAGAUCACAACUUCAUUCUCUUCGGGAGCAGGAGAAGUCCUGUCUCCGUUGUCAGCCCUCACGAUAGACAUAUCUCGAAAAUAUCUCCCACUCAUAUUGUCGAGAUGACUUUGUUUAAUAGUUGAUUUUCCGAAAACUGUAUGACUUGGUCACCAAGGUCAAUCUUCGGAGUCUUCGCCACCGCUCUCCACAUCAUAACUGUCACUAUCACCGGUGUCUUCAGAUAAACCUUCUAAAAUCUCUCUAGUAAUCUUCUCUGUAUUUGUCUUCGCUAUUGAUUCAAGAAAGCCAAGAUUCUUCUCUUCAGAAAGGCUCAGCUUCGUUUCAACAACUUUCUUGUCUUGAGACAUCUCUUCGAAAAUGUCAAAAAUGUGCUCUUAAGGCCGAAGCUAAAAAAUCUAAAAAGUCAGGCAAAGCGUUUGUAGGCAAGAGCUAAAAAUUGAGCAGGCAGAGCAGAUGGCAAAAAGGCGUGCCAAAUGAGCUCGCCGUGCGCUCUUAUUUAUACGCCUAGUGCGUUGCAAGUGGGAGGGCCCCGCUUGUCAUUGACUGUUGCUAUUCUAGCAAAGGGAAGGUGUUUUUUCGGACCUUCGGCUUAAGGCCUUCGUCCAUAUCGCAAUCUGAAUUUAUCAUUCUAACAAAUUAAUAUUGCGAGGGGCUACUGUUGAGGGCCUUCGGCUUCCGAAGGUCCUCAAAAACAUGAUUUAACAAUGUUUCUGGAGUAUGAUACAUGAACAGGUACCUUCGGACUUAGGUCAAAACCACAAUGUGAAGAAGCACAAAGAAUACGAAGGAUGGCGCAGAGCCGAAGCUAUGCGCAGGGGAGCUUCGGCGUGAUGGCAGAAAAGGAAACCGACUUAAAGGGGAAAAUGCUAUUUAGACCCCGAUGGAUUACUAUAGAGUUAUUAGCAAAUGUAAAGGGCAUGAGUGUAAUUUUAUAUGGGCUGCGUCUCGUGCCUAUAAAUAGAUGAACAGUGCUCCCGUACUGUUCACGCGGACUUGGCAUUUGCUUUUGCGUCACGCUUGUACUUUUGCCUUCUCUCAAGCCGAAGGUACAUUUGUAAUUUGUUAUCAUUUCUAUUUUGCCAUAAUAAUAAAAUAGAAAUGAGUUAAUAAUAAUAUUUAAGUGUUUACAUUAUUUCUUAUACUUUAUAUGAAUCCUUCUUUAUUUUUUGUUGUGCCUAUGAAGGUAUGACCUUCAUAACCUUCGUCCGAAACUCAUUAUAUCCCAAGGAAAAUAAUGCUUCGAAGGACGAAUGACUUUAACGUUUAACAAUUUAUGUGUUGCCUUAUUCUUAAUUCAUAGCAUUUAAGGACAAGUCCCCAACACAUCAUAUCAUAAAAUCACAUUUGCAUGCCAUCAAAGGAAAUGGGCUGCUGUGGACCAAUCAAAACAAUAUAAUUGCAUUCAGAAAAUGGUUUCACAACAACCCCAGUUUUUUAGAAGCUACA